ACGAACGCUGGCGGCGUGCUUAACACAUGCAAGUCGAACGGAAAGGCCCUGCUUUUGUGGGGUGCUCGAGUGGCGAACGGGUGAGUAACACGUGAGUAACCUGCCCUUGACUUUGGGAUAACUUCAGGAAACUGUGGCUAAUACCGGAUAGGAGCUCCUGCUGCAUGGUGGGGGUUGGAAAGUUUCGGCGGUUGGGGAUGGACUCGCGGCUUAUCAGCUUGUUGGUGGGGUAGUGGCUUACCAAGGCUUUGACGGGUAGCCGGCCUGAGAGGGUGACCGGCCACAUUGGGACUGAGAUACGGCCCAGACUCCUACGGGAGGCAGCAGUGGGGAAUAUUGCACAAUGGGCGGAAGCCUGAUGCAGCAACGCCGCGUGCGGGAUGACGGCCUUCGGGUUGUAAACCGCUUUCGCCUGUGACGAAGCGUGAGUGACGGUAAUGGGUAAAGAAGCACCGGCUAACUACGUG
rnacentral:rRNA from 1 species